rnacentral:rRNA from 1 species
UAGGGAAUCUUCGGCAAUGGACGAAAGUCUGACCGAGCAACGCCGCGUGAGUGAAGAAGGUUUUCGGAUCGUAAAACUCUGUUGUUAGAGAAGAACAAGGACGUUAGUAACUGAACGUCCCCUGACGGUAUCUAACCAGAAAGCCACGGCUAACUACGUGCCAGCAGCCGCGGUAAUACGUAGGUGGCAAGCGUUGUCCGGAUUUAUUGGGCGUAAAGCGAGCGCAGGCGGUUUUUUAAGUCUGAUGUGAAAGCCCCCGGCUCAACCGGGGAGGGUCAUUGGAAACUGGGAGACUUGAGUGCAGAAGAGGAGAGUGGAAUUCCAUGUGUAGCGGUGAAAUGCGUAGAUAUAUGGAGGAACACCAGUGGCGAAGGCGGCUCUCUGGUCUGUAACUGACGCUGAGGCUCGAAAGCGUGGGGAGCAAACAGG